rnacentral:rRNA from 1 species
UUAUUUAGAGAGUUUGAUCCUGGCUCAGGAUGAACGCUGGCGGCGUGCCUAACACAUUCAAGUCGAACGGAGUUAUCGGAUUAAUCCUUCGGGAAGCGUCUGAGAAGCUUAGUGGCGGACGGGUGAGUAACGCGUGAGCAACCUGCCUUUGCAACCGGGAUAACAGUUGGAAACGACUGCUAAUACGGGAUGACGUACACGG